AUACCCCAUGAUGCUCAGGUCCGCCGCAUCUCCUGGGUCGUGGGGUCGGUCGACUGGCAGGCAUAAUAAAAGCGGUUCCUCGUGCCGUGAUUGCAUGCCGGUCGACCCCCGA
rnacentral:sRNA from 1 species